UGGGGAAUAUUUCACAAUUGGCGCAAGCCCGAUGCAGCCAUGCCGCGUGUAUGAAGAAGGCCUUCGGGUUGGAAAGUACUUUCAGUCGGGAGGCAGGCGGUAAGGUUAAUAACCUUAUCAAUUGACGUUACCGACAGAAGAAGCACCGGCCAACUCCGUGCCAGCAGCCGCGGUAAUUCGGAGGGUGCAAGCGUUAAUCGGAAUUACUGGGCGUAAAGCGCACGCAGGCGGUUGAUUGAGUCAGAUGUGAAAUCCCCGGGCUUAACCCGGGAAUGGCAUCGGAUACAGGUCAGCUAGAGGCUUGAGGGGGGGGGUGAAAUUAAAGGUGUGGCGGGGAAAGGAGUGGGGAGCUGGAGGAAUACCGGUGGGGAAGGCGGCCCCCUGGACAAAGACUGACGCUCAGGUGGGAAAGGGUGGGGGGCAAAAAGG
rnacentral:rRNA from 1 species